AACGAACGCUGGCGGCAGGCUUAACACAUGCAAGUCGAGCGCCCCGCCAGGGGAGCGGCAGCCGGGUGAGUAACGCGUGGGAAUCUACCUAUCUCUACGGCAUAACGCAUGGACACGUGUGCUAAUACCGUAUACGUCCUUCGGGAGAAAGAUUUAUCGGAGAUGGAUGAGCCCGCGUGGGAUUAGGUAGUUGGUGGGGUACGGGCCUACCAAGGCGCCGAUCCAUAGCUGGUCUGAGAGGAUGAUCAGCAACACUGGGACUGAUACACGGCCCAGACGCGUACGAUAGUGAGCAGUGGGGAAUAUUGGGCAAUAGGCGCGAGCCUGAGCCGGCCAUGCCGCGUGGGUGAUGAAGGCCCUAGGGUUGUAAAGCUCGUUCACCGGUUAAGAUAAUGACGGUAGCCGGAGAAGAAGCCCCGGCUAACUUCGUGCCAGCCGCCGCCGUAACAC
rnacentral:rRNA from 1 species